CACAACAUGCUGUCAGUCAACAACAACAACAACAACAACAACAACAACAACAACACCACAAAAACAUUAGUCUGAUGUCACCAUGUAGGUUUAGAAUGUAUGUAAACCAUCAACAUUUUUACCUGGCGUUCAAGAUUUCCUGUGGGCUGUUUUUAAGGCCAGGCACAACAGACUGAAAUUACAAUGUUGCAUAAAUGUUUCGAUUUGUUGGUAUUUUGGUCUAUUUAAUAUUAGUAUUUUCAAAAAGUUGUCAAACUUGAUGAGAAAAUUUAUAUUUUCUUCAGUUAAUCACGACCGUCAUUGACAUUUUAUACAAUUUUAACCACUUUAUAAUGGACAUACAUCGAGCCCAUUUCAUAGCUCACUACAUUCAGUUACACAUCAUUUUAACACAUACAUCAAGCCCCUUUCAUAGAGAAUGUUACAACCUGGACUGCAUUUAGUAAUUGACUUUGAAGAGAUGGUGACUGGGUCUGAAUAGGCUUUUGGAAGUCUUUUACUUGUCUUUAACGGCCAGAAAGCCAGACUCUCUCCACACGCCAACUCAUUUUACACAGCUUCAGAAGCAUGUUCAUUCACCAAAUGUAGUUUUAUCGUUAGAACACAAAUAUGGGGCGGCAGGGUGGCCUAGUGGUUAGAGCGGUGGGCUGGUAACCGGAAGGUUCCAAGUUCAAACCCCCGAGCUGACAAGGUACAAAUCUGUCGUUCUGCCCCUGAACAGGCAGUUAACUCACUGUCAUUGAAAAUAAGAAUUUGUUCUUAACUGACUUGCCUAGUUAAAUAACGGUAAAAUAAAUAAAAAAUAAAUUAAACUCAUGUUCCAUGAGCUGAAAUAAAAUAUCCCAGAAAUGUUCCAUACGCACAAAAAGCUUAUUUCUCUCACAAAUUUAGUUUUGUUAAUCCACCAACCUAACAGGUGUGGCAUAUUAAGAAGCUGAUUAAGGCCACUUUAUCAUUACAUAGAUGCACCUUAUGCUGGGGACAAUAAAAGGCCACUCUAAAAUGUGCAGUUUUGUCACACAACACAAUUCCACAGAUGUCUCAAGUUUUAACGGAGCGUGCAAUUGGCAUGCUGACCGCAGUAAUGUCCACUAGAGCUGUUGCCAGAGAAUUGAAUGUUAAUUCAAGCCUCUUCCAAUGUCGUUUUAGAGAAUUUUUGCAGUCCAACUGGCAUCACUACCGUAGACAACGUGUAACCACGACAACCCAGGACCUCCACAACCGUAGACCACGUGUAACCACGCCAACCCAGGACCUCCACAACCGUAGACCACGUGUAACCACGCCAACCCAGGACCUCCACAUCCGGCUUGUUCACCUGCGGGAUCGUCUGGGACCAGCCACCCGGACAGCUGAUGAUACUGUGGGUUUGAACAACCAAAGAUUUUCUGUACAAACUGUCAGAAACGGGAAGCUCAUCUGCUCGUCGUCCUCACCAGGGUCUUGACCCGACUGCAGUUCGGCGUUGUAACUGACUUCAGUGGGCAAAUGUUCACCUUCGAUGGCCACUGGCACGCUGGAGAAGUCUACUCUUCACGGAUGAAUCCCGGUUUCAACCGUACCAGGCAGUAUGGCAUCGUGGGCGAGCGUUUUGCUGAUGUCAACACUGUGAACAGAGUGCCCCGUGGUGGUGGUGGGGUUAUGGUAUGGGCAGGCAUAAGCUACGGACAACAAACACAGUUGCAUUUUAUCUAUAUUUUAUAUUUAUGGCAAUUUGAAUGCACAGAGAAACCGUGAUGAGAUCCUGAAGCCCAUCAUCGUGCCAUUCAUCCACUGUCAACACCUCAUGUUUCAGCAUGAUAAUGCACAGCACCUUGUCGCAAGGAUCUGGACACAAUCACUGGAAGCUGAAAAUGUCCCAGUUCUUCCAUGGCUCGCCAGACAUGUCACCCAUUGAGCAUGUUUGGGAUGCUCUGGAUCGAGGUGUAUGACAGCGUGUUCCAAUUCCUGCCAAUACCCAGCAACUUCUCACAGCCAUUGAAGAGGAGUGGGACAACAUUUCACAGGCCACAAUCAACAGCCUGAUCAACUCUAUGUGAAGGACAUGUGUCACCAUGUAUGAGGUAAAUGGUCACACCAGAUACUGACUGGUUUUCUGAUCCACGACCUUUUGUUUUUUACGGUACAGUGCAUUUGCUAAGUAUUCAGUCCCCUUGACCUUUUCCACAGUUUGUUACAUUACAGGCGUAUUCUAAAAUAGAUUAAAUUGUUUUUUCCCCUCAUCAAUCUACACACAAUACCCCAUAAUGACAUCACAAUACCCCAUAAUGACAUCACAAUACCCCAUAACGACAAGGCAAAAAAAACGUUUUUUUAGAAAUUCUUGGGUAUGACGCUACAAGCUUGGCACACCUGUAUUUGGGGAGUUUAUCCUAUUCUUCUCAGCAGAUCCUCUCAAGCUCUGUUAGAUUGGAUGGGGAGCGUUGCUGCACAGCUAUUUUCAGGUCUCUCCAGAUAUUUUCGAUCGGGUUAAAGUCCAUGCUCUGGCUGGGCCACUCACGGACAUUCAGAGACUUGUCCCGAAGCCACUCCUGCGUUGUGUUGGCUGUGUGCUUAGGGUCGUUGUCCUGUUGGAAGGUGAACAUUCACUCCAGUCUGAGGUCCUGAGUGCUCUGGAGCAGGUUUUCAACAAGUAUCUCUCUGUACUUUUCUCUGUUCAUCUUUCCCUCAAUCCUGACAAGUAUCCCAGUCUCUGCCGCUGAAAAACAUCCCCACAGCAUGAUGUUGCCACCACCAUGUUUCACCGUAGGGAUGGUGCCAGGUUUCCUCCAGAUGUGACGCUUGGCAUUCAGGCCAAAGAGUUCAAUCUUAGUUUCAUCAGAGCAGAGAGUCCUUUAGGUGCCUUUUGGCAAACUCCAAGUGGGCUGCCAUGUGCCUUUUACUAAGGAGUGGCCACUCUACCAAGCCUGAUUGGUGGAGUGCUGCCGAGAUAGUUGUCCUUCUGGAAGGUUCUCCCAUCUCAACAGAGAAACUCUGGGGCCCUGUCUGAGUGACCAUCGGGUUCUUGGUCACCUCCCUGACCAAGGCCCUUCUCCCCCGAUUGCUCAGUUUGGCCAGACGGCCAGCUCUAGGAAGAGUCUUGGUGGUUCCAAACUUCUUCCAUUUAAGAAUGAUGGAGGCCACUGUGUUCUUGGGGACCUUCAAUGCUGGAGAAAUGUUUUGGUACCCUUCCCCAGACAUGUCCAUCGACACAAUCCUGUCUCGGAGCUCUACGGAAAAUUCCUUCGACCACAUGGCUUGGUUUUUGCUCUGAUGUGCAAUGUCAACUGAUGGACCUUCUAUAGACAGGUGAGUGCCUUUCCAAAUCAUGUCCAACCAAUUGAAUUUACCCCCAGGUGGACUCCAAUCAAGUUGUAGAAACAUCUCAAGGAUGAUCAAUGGAAACAGGAUGCACCCAAGCUCAAUUUCGAGUCUCAUUGCAAAGGGUCUGAAUACUCAUGUAAAUAUGGUAUUUCUGUUUUUUAUUUUUAAUGAAUUAGCAAAAAUGUCUAAAAACCUGUUUUCGCUUUGUCAUUAUGUAGUAGAUUGAUGAGGAUUUUAUUUUUUAUUUCAUCCAUUUUAGAUUAAGGCUGUAACGUAACAAAAUGUGGAACAAGUCAAGGGGUUUGAAUACUUUGCACUGUAUCUGUGACCAACAGAUGUAUAUCUGUAUUCCCAGUCAAUGUAUUUCAAUCCCUUAUAGGAAGUGUAACUCAGUAAAAUCUUUGAUGUUGUGUUUAUAUUUUUGUUCAGUGUAUAUUUUACAGACUUACCAAGAGGGAAUUGUUGAUUUGUUGCACAUUGUUUAUUCUAGAUAACAUUUUAUGUAUAUGUCCUUAGUGUUUUACAGAUAGAAGUAGGAAAACAGUAUUUAUCUGUUUUGGACAAGUUAAAGUUGGACAAGUUAAUUUGAUUUAUUUUAGGCUGACUUCGUUCAGUGUCCAAAAAAAUGUAUUGUGUCGUAUGCAAAUACGCAUAUAUUUAAUUAGAUAUCGGCUCAUUUGAUAGGUGACAUUUUGUUUGAGCGGUAGAUGUAGUAGGUAUAGUAGAUGUAGUAGAUGUAGUAGGUGUAGUAGGUGUAGUAGGUGUAGUAGGUGUAGUAGGUGUAGUAGGUGUAGUAGGUAUAGUAGGUGUAGUAGAUGUAGUAGGUGUAGUAGAUGUAGUAGAUGUAGUAGGUGUAGUAGGUGUAGUAGGUAUAGUAG